AUUGAACGCUGGCGGCAGGCCUAACACAUGCAAGUCGAGCGGAUGAAGAGAGCUUGCUCUCUGAUUCAGCGGCGGACGGGUGAGUAAUGCCUAGGAAUCUGCCUGGUAGCGGGGGACAACGUUGCGAAAGGAACGCUAAUACCGCAUACGUCCUACGGGAGAAAGGGGGGGAACUUCGGACCUCACUCUAUCAGCUGAGCCUAGGUACGAUUAGCUAGUUGGUGAGGUAAAGGCGCACCAAGGCGACGAUCGUUAACUGGUCUGAGAGGAUGGUCAGUCACACUGGAGCUGAGACACGGACCAGACUCCUACGGAAGGCAGCAGUGGGGAAAAUAGAACAAUGGGCGAAAGACUGAUCCAGCCAUGCCGCGUGUGUGAAGAAGGUCUUCGGAUUGUAAAGAACUUUAAGUUGGGAGGAAGGGCAGUAAGUUAAUACCUUGCUGUUUUGACGUUACCGACAGAAUAAGCACCGGCUAACUUCGUGCCAGCCGCCGCAGUAAAAC
rnacentral:rRNA from 1 species